rfam:Ixodes scapularis strain Wikel colony gcontig_1107729159910, whole genome shotgun sequence.
GCAGUCGUGGCCGAGCAGUUAAGGGGAUGGACUAGAAGUCCAUUGGGGUCUCCCCACACAGGUUGGAAUCCUGUCGGCUGCG